GACGAACGCUGGCGGCGUGCUUAACACAUGCAAGUCGAACGGAAAGGCCCUGCUUUUGUGGGGUGCUCGAGUGGCGAACGGGUGAGUAACACGUGAGUAACCUGCCCUUGACUUUGGGAUAACUUCAGGAAACUGGGGCUAAUACCGGAUAGGAGCUCCUGCUGCAUGGUGGGGGUUGGAAAGUUUCGGCGGUUGGGGAUGGACUCGCGGCUUAUCAGCUUGUUGGUGGGGUAGUGGCUUACCAAGGCUUUGACGGGUAGUCGGCCUGAGAGGGUGACCGGCCACAUUGGGACUGAGAUACGGCCCAGACUCCUACGGGAGGCAGCAGUGGGGAAUAUUGCACAAUGGGCGGAAGCCUGAUGCAGCAACGCCGCGUGCGGGAUGACGGCCUUCGGGUUGUAAACCGCUUUCGCCUGUGACGAAGCGUGAGUGACGGUAACGGGUAAAGAAGCACCGGCUAACUACGUG
rnacentral:rRNA from 1 species